rnacentral:lncRNA from 1 species
GCAGAUAACCAUUCUAUUCAUUGAUAGAAGAUUUUUUUUCUUUUCUUUGAAAGUGUCAAAUCUGUGAUUUAAAAAUAGUAUGACAGGCUGGGCUGCUGCUGUUAAUGGGGAGAGAAGGAGCUGUGUGACGAAGAGACAUUGCAUCAGCUUUGCCAUGAAAGUAUUUUCCUUGAUGCGUGGUGACCUAAGCAGCUGUAAGGCAGGUUCAGCUGACCUACAUCGCACCAACAGCUUCACCCCUGCUGAAGUUUAA